AGCAGUUGAGUUGUCUCAGAGACUCCUUUGAUGAUCUCUGUGAAGUGCUGCUGCUAUCAGUCAAGAUGGGAAAGUGAACGAGAGUUUUUGAUGUUUAGAGCCUGCUGAUGGAAAGGAAAGUAAUUGAUGAUCAGAGAUGGUCUGAAUCUCUGCCAGCGAUACAAAUCACUGCAUAGGCUGCUCUCAGGUGUGAAAUUGUGUACGCCUCGGCUGCCGGAGUGGGGGGUGGCGUGCGACCAGAUGUGGAGCAGCAGCAGCCACCAUGUGCGAGCUUCCCCGACAUUCGUCCAAGCAGGCGGCACCUGCAUGGCAGCACAGGAUGGUGCAUGGCAGCUCUCCGUCCCUACCCACCUGUGUG